CCUACGGGUGGCAGCAGUGAGGAAUAUUGGUCAAUGGACGCAAGUCUGAACCAGCCAUGCCGCGUGCAGGAAGACGGCUCUAUGAGUUGUAAACUGCUUUUGUACGAGGGUAAACGCAGAUACGCGUAUCUGUCUGAAAGUAUCGUACGAAUAAGGAUCGGCUAACUCCGUGCCAGCAGCAGCGGUAAUACGGAGGAUUCAAGCGUUAUACGGAUUUAUUGGGUUUAAAGGGUGCGUAGGCGGUCGGAUAAGUUAGAGGUGAAAUCCCGAGGCUCAACUUCGGAAUUGCCUCUGAUACUGUUCGUCUAGAGAGUAGUUGCGGUAGGCGGAAUGUAUGGUGUAGCGGUGAAAUGCUUAGAGAUCAUACAGAACACCGAUUGCGAAGGCAGCUUACCAAGCUACUUCUGACGUUGAGGCACGAAAGCGUGGGGAGCAAACAGGAUUAGAUACCCGAGUAGUC
rnacentral:rRNA from 1 species